GUGGGAGCGAGCCUGCUCGCGAAGGCGUCAUGCCAGUCGGUAUCUAUGUCGACUGAAAGACCGCUUUCGCGAGCAGGCUCGCUCCCAC
rnacentral:antisense_RNA from 1 species